rnacentral:rRNA from 1 species
UACGAGGGGGGCUAGCGUUGCUCGGAAUGACUGGGCGUAAAGGGCGCGUAGGCGGCUUGCACAGUCAGGCGUGAAAUUCCUGGGCUCAACCUGGGGACUGCGCUUGAGACGUGUGGGCUUGAGUGGGGAAGAGGGUCGUGGAAUUCCCAGUGUAGAGGUGAAAUUCGUAGAUAUUGGGAAGAACACCGGUGGCGAAGGCGGCGACCUGGUCCUUGACUGACGCUGAGGCGCGAAAGCGUGGGGAGCAAACAGG